rnacentral:rRNA from 1 species
UGCCAGUGAUAAACUGGAGGAAGGUGGGGAUGACGUCAAGUCAUCAUGGCCCUUACGACCAGGGCUACACACGUGCUACAAUGGCGCAUACAAAGAGAAGCGACCUCGCGAGAGCAAGCGGACCUCAUAAAGUGCGUCGUAGUCCGGAUUGGAGUCUGCAACUCGACUCCAUGAAGUCGGAAUCGCUAGUAAUCGUGGAUCAGAAUGCCACGGUGAAUACGUUCCCGGGCCUUGUACACACCGCCCGUCACACCAUGGGAGUGGGUUGCAAAAGAAGUAGGUAGCUUAACCUUCGGGAGGGCGCUUACCACUUUGUGAUUCAUGACUGGGGUGAAGUCGUAACAAGGUAACCGUAG